rnacentral:sRNA from 1 species
CCUGUGGAGGGAUCAUUACCGAGUUUACAACUCCCAAACCCCUGUGAACAUACCACUUGUUGCCUCGGCGGAUCAGCCCGCUCCCGGUAAAACGGGACGGCCCGCCAGAGGACCCCUAAACUCUGUUUCUAUAUGUAACUUCUGAGUAAAACCAUAAAUAAAUCAAAACUUUCAACAACGGAUCUCUUGGUUCUGGCAUCGAUGAAGAACGCAGCAAAAUGCGAUAAGUAAUGUGAAUUGCAGAAUUCAGUGAAUCAUCGAAUCUUUGAACGCACAUUGCGCCCGCCAGUAUUCUGGCGGGCAUGCCUGUUCGAGCGUCAUUUCAACCCUCAAGCACAGCUUGGUGUUGGGACUCGCGUUAAUUCGCGUUCCUCAAAUUGAUUGGCGGUCACGUCGAGCUUCCAUAGCGUAGUAGUAAAACCCUCGUUACUGGUAAUCGUCGCGGCCACGCCGUUAAACCCCCAACUUCUGAAUGU